rnacentral:lncRNA from 10 species
CCCAGCUUGGCAGUCUGGGUGGUGCCAGCUGAUCCAUCAGAAUGCAGGAUCUGAAAAAUACCUCAAAUACCAAUCUUAGGUUUUUCAAUACUAAUCUGUAGGUGCAACCGGGGAGGUUGGAAUCUUGUGGCCUCUGGCUGUAUGACUCCUGAGCCAUAAUUUCCAGUCUGUGGCUAAUGUGUUAGUUUUAUAAAAGCAGUCUGGUCCCCAAGCAAGGAGGGAGUUUGUUUCAGGGAAGAGUCUAGGUAAUCAUCUUUGUUUCAUAGUUAAACUAUGAACUAAAUUCUUCCCAAAGUUAGUUUGGCCUAUGCCCAGGAAUGAACAAGGGCAGCUUAGAGGUUAGAAGCAAGAUGGCGUCAGUGAGGUCAGCUUUCUUUCGCUGUCAGAUUUUUCUCACUGUCAUCAUUUUUGCAAAGGUGGUUUCAUUCAUAUUCCGCAUUGUAUCUAACUGCGUGCUUUAACAUCUUUAUUUCCUAAUGGGAAAGAAUACACUCAUGAGCAAGCUCAAUGGGCUCUCUCUACGAGUUUUCCAGGGUAAUACACAGAGAGCUGCAACAUGUAACUGGAUUUAGAGAAACUAAUUCCUAUGAAAACCAAUUAGGAAAUACAGCACCUCUGCAAAAUUCUCUGUCCAUCCAGACCAAUUCUCAGCAGCCAACAUUUGCAAAUGAUAUUUUAGAGCACUGUGGUCUUUAAGCUCCUUGACGCAAGACAAGUUAUUGCAUGUCAUGACAGAGAGAACGUAACAAGUCCAAAAUUUAAGGAGGAGGUAGCUGUUUGUUUCACUUUUGAUAGUAGACUCGAAUCUGCCUUCAAAAAAACUAAUGAGAAUAGGAAUAAAUUGCAGACUUUUGGCUCUUUUCUGGCUGACAGGGUUUAAGUAACACCAACAUGCCACACUCUGGAGCAGCAGGAUCUUUAUUUUUGGUGCCAACUCCUCAUCUUGCAACAAGUGAGCCACUUCUUCCAUGUACUCAGCUGCAAAGUUCCCAGCAGGUGGUCCUCCUGUAAAACAAGCAUUUGCAUUUCCA